rnacentral:lncRNA from 1 species
GCGGUUUGUUUUUUCUUACGAACACAUUUGAGAACAUUACAGUAAAAUUGAGUUAAAUCAAGGUUCUGACAGGCUGGAAUCGUCCGUACACUGUCGGUACACUGCAUAGUCAGGGGCCUAGCCACAGGGGGAAUAGAGACCUUACGAUUUUAGGACGGCAACGCGACGACGACGGCCAAAACAAACUCCUUCAAAUAAUGGUAGUAAAGAUAAUUCGUCGUAUAUUAUCAAUCGUAUGAAUUUAAUACAGUUUUAGAAGUUGAAGACAUGGG